AGUACAGACGAGUUUGAUCAUGGCUCAGAACGAACGCUGGCGGCAGGCCUAACACAUGCAAGUCGAGCGCCCCGCAAGGGGAGCGGCGGACGGGUGAGUAACGCGUGGGAACGUACCCUUUGCUACGGAAUAGCCUCGGGAAACUGGGAGUAAUACCGUAUGUGCCCUUCGGGGGAAAGAUUUAUCGGCAAAGGAUCGGCCCGCGUUGGAUUAGGUAGUUGGUGGGGUAAUGGCCUACCAAGCCGACGAUCCAUAGCUGGUUUGAGAGGAUGAUCAGCCACACUGGGACUGAGACACGGCCCAGACUCCUACGGGAGGCAGCAGUGGGGAAUCUUAGACAAUGGGCGCAAGCCUGAUCUAGCCAUGCCGCGUGAGCGAUGAAGGCCUUAGGGUUGUAAAGCUCUUUCAGUGGGGAAGAUAAUGACUGUACCCACAGAAGAAGCCCCGGCUAACUCCGUG
rnacentral:rRNA from 1 species